CCUAACAGCAAUCUCAGUUUGUUUUUGCAUAAAAAUUGCUCCCAGGUUCAUGCAAUACUGAGGAGUCUUAAGCAUGUUAAGGAAAACAGGUAAUUUUUAGCCAUUUUAUUGUGGAAAAAAAUCCGCCGGGGCUGUGCCCCCAACCCCCUAUCUAAGGGGCCUCAAUCCGCGGCCCCAAACCCAUGCCUCCCAUGAAUUCAACCCCUGGUUACGGCCCUGUUAUUUAUGCAAGCCCUUUGAUUUUACCCAUGGCUGUCUUUUUAUGUUGACAAACAGCUAAUGUCCCAAUACACCCAGAAAGACUCAUUGAAGAACAACUUUUUUUUAUUAUUAAGUCCAUGUUUUACAUGAUGAUUAUAUUUUCAUCUUGCAUAUAAAGUACCAACC
rnacentral:lncRNA from 1 species